rnacentral:lncRNA from 1 species
UCAGGUCUAAGCUGCAUGAUUGGGCUGCAGGUGCUGUUCCUGAUCGCUCCAUCAUGCUACAUACAUACAUUGUGCAAUUCGUUGCCGGAUCGGUGAUACCCAACGGCUUCGUUUUCGGCUCUACUCUGGCCAAUGUUUCGGCCACCGUCCGGCUAUCUGCCAGCUUGGAGUUGUCAUCAGUUUAUUUGUGCACUUCAUCAAUUUAUACACAAACAUGCUGUACCGAGAUAGCUUAAAUUUGCUACCUAUGUUCAGAUGCGUGCUUGCCUGUUUCUGUAGACCUAUGUGCUAGACUCUUAACACAUGAGCAGUGUCCAGAUUGUCCAUCCGACUGUAUUAUUAGAUAGGACUUUGUGUUUGUUUAUCUGUAAUAAACUCCUCGUCCACCGGGUUCGGUGACAGUCAGGUGCUGUAUGCAAUCUGUUGAUGCUCUCAUUGAAUCAUUGCCAAUUUAUUCAGGCAGGGUGCAUAUGCAAAGCUUGCCCCCCUCUCUCUCUCUCUCUGAAAUAUGCAAAGCUCCUCACGGCUGGUAUGCUAUCAUAUUUGCAUGAUGCAUAUUGAUGCGUUCCAUAGUUUCAUACAUUGAUAGAUGUGAAUUAUUGGUUAAGUGAUUUUCCGGGCUCCUUUUUCUGCAGAGCUAUGUACGGACAACUUACAAUUUUUCUUACUGUCGAAUAGCGGAGGAAAUUGAUUCUUCUACAAAUUAAUUGACGAGUAUUGAAUGCGAAGCUUCGUUCAGUCUCACAGUGUCAUAGGUUUUCGACAAUCCGGCAACUUCUUUGUGCAAGUGCGUCAUGCUUACAUGACAAAGGAGUUGAUGUUUAAUUUUUAUAGAUCUGGCUACUACUAUAUGCAAAUAGGGAAAACGUGAAUUAAAGUUUCUUUAUUUAUCCCAGUAUUACUCUACGCAAUUAGUUAUGCUUAUAUAUAUUAUGGGAUUAUAAGUCAAGACAUCUGAAGUAUGUCCUAUUUUAUCACUGUUUUCCACUUCGCAAACAAGUUAAUCUCUUACAGUAGAAUCACAAGUUCAUGAAAUAUGGCACAUAAGUCCACAUGUAAUUAGGAAUGAUUAGUUCUUAUGGGCAGGGUGAUCAGCUAACCACAAGCUUAGUAUGUGGUAUACUGCAUAAAUAUCUAGCUUGGAACAAAGCAUGGUCAGUAGAGCGUUUUCUAACCAUGCACUAGCAGUGCCCACUCCAUGCUACUGUUAUGUACACGGACGACAAGUUUGUUUGAGAAAGAGUAUGCUUGCUGCCUUUCAUCUAAUAUCAUAUGUUUCUGUUUCCUAUGUGAAACUGAUGGUUCACGUCUCUAACUUCUACUGCUUUAUAGUUUUGCACAAAAGCUUUUCUAACCAUGAUGCUGAUAUACCUAUGAUUGUUACUUCAUGUUCUACUACAUUAGUAGGGAGAUUUUUAUAAAGGUACCAGAAUUUAUCUUCUUCCACAUUAAGUCAAUAUUUAGUAAUGGAGUUCUAUUUUUGUUUGCAAACCAGUUCAUGCAAGGAAGAAAAUCUACUCUGGAUAGUUGAUUUAGUGUUUCUUGAACAUGGCCAGGGCAAUGGAUAAAAUCUACUCUGGAUAGUUGACAGAGGGAGUACAAGCUAAGUUGACUUUUUUCCCGCGGAUUUGCUUAUCGUGAAGAUGCUAGCAAGGAUGCAGAGGGAGCGGAUCAUUUGGAGAGAUAGGAUGCGACUGUUUGGUGUUUUUAUGCAUUUUGUUUUGCUUGUAACUGUGUUUGCACUAGCUGGGAGUAAGUGACUUCAAAAAGUGUAGGUGUUUUAAUUGAAGGCAUGAAAAGCCAUGACAAUAUGUAUACUCUUACAGGAUGUGUUCUAAUGCCGCUGGUUUAUUAUAAAUCUUGGAUUAGUAAUGAUGUGUAAUGCUGCUGGUUUAUUGCAAAUAUGUUUGUUUUAGUUGGAAUUGUAUGCAUGGAAUAUAAUUGGUGGAUUUUAUUUUUUUAA